AUGCCGGGUCGCAUAAAAAUUGAAUUUAAUGAUUCGCUAAAAUUUAAUGGAACAAUAACGCUCGGCAUUAGUGUAAUACGUCGGAUAUGAAAAAAAUAAAAAUAAAAAUUUGGUAAUAUCUCUACCGGCGCUGCUGUGUCGUCGAAGCUGCACCUCACCGGCGUCCGCGAUUCGAAAUAAUACGUCGUCUUGGUCUCAGACCGCGCCACGCUGCUGUCUCUGUGCCCGCGUUGGCGCGUUAUCUUCGCGGCAGUGUCGAAACAUACUUCGCCGCCGUCGUCGUAAUAAAAUAGGGGUUAUCAAAACGGCGUCGCACGCACGUUGGCCACUUUAGCGCGUGUGUUGCGCGCAAAGCACAGAUGUUUGUUCCCCCUCGUCGAGCAGCCGACGCCGCCGCCGAUGUAAGGUCGUGUAGAAAAUCGAAUAGCUCGGAGUUGGUGUAUGACCGUACGGGCACGAACAGGAUUUUUUUUUUAUUUCGGCGAGGAGGGGUGGCAAAAUUUUACAAAUGCCUCAGUCCUUUAAUUUUUAUUAUUUUUAUUGACGUCAAACGUUAACAUAAAUAUAUACGUUAAAAAUACUAAUAUAAUUUUACCAAAUUACUAAAUUACAUAGUCUUAAGAGAGUAUAUCAGCAAAUUAUUUUCAGAACAUUAUUGCAGCCUAUAUAUAU